AGAGUUUGAUCCUGGCUCAGGAUGAACGCUGGCGGCGUGCCUAACACAUGCAAGUCGAACGGAGUUCUUAAGGAAUGCGACUUCGGUCAAAUGACUUUUGAACUUAGUGGCGGACGGGUGAGUAACGCGUGAGCAACCUGCCUUUCAGAGGGGGAUAACAUUUGGAAACAGAUGCUAAUACCGCAUAAGAUUACAGUACCGCAUGAUACAGUGAUCAAAGGAGCAAUCCGCUGAAAGAUGGGCUCGCGUCCGAUUAGAUAGUUGGUGAGGUAACGGCUCACCAAGUCGACGAUCGGUAGCCGGACUGAGAGGUUGAACGGCCACAUUGGGACUGAGACACGGCCCAGACUCCUACGGGAGGCAGCAGUGGGGAAUAUUGCACAAUGGGCGAAAGCCUGAUGCAGCAACGCCGCGUGAGGGAAGACGGUUUUCGGAUUGUAAACCUCUGUUUUCGGUGACGAACAAAUGACGGUAACCGAGUAGGAAGCCACGGCUAACUACGUGCCAGCAGCCGCGGUAAUACGUAGGUGGCAAGCGUUAUCCGGAAUUACUGGGUGUAAAGGGAGCGCAGGCGGGAUAGCAAGUCAGCUGUGAAAACUAUGGGCUCAACCCAUAAACUGCAGUUGAAACUGUUAUUCUUGAGUGGAGUAGAGGCAAGCGGAAUUCCGAGUGUAGCGGUGAAAUGCGUAGAUAUUCGGAGGAACACCAGUGGCGAAGGCGGCUUGCUGGGCUCUAACUGACGCUGAGGCUCGAAAGUGUGGGGAGCAAACAGGAUUAGAUACCCUGGUAGUCCACACUGUAAACGAUGAUUACUAGGUGUUGGAGGAUUGACCCCUUCAGUGCCGCAGUUAACACAAUAAGUAAUCCACCUGGGGAGUACGACCGCAAGGUUGAAACUCAAAGGAAUUGACGGGGGCCCGCACAAGCAGUGGAUUAUGUGGUUUAAUUCGAAGCAACGCGAAGAACCUUACCAGGUCUUGACAUCCGACUAACGAGAUAGAGAUAUGUCAGGUGCCCUUCGGGGAAAGUCGAGACAGGUGGUGCAUGGUUGUCGUCAGCUCGUGUCGUGAGAUGUUGGGUUAAGU
rnacentral:rRNA from 1 species